rnacentral:tRNA from 1 species
CCCCAACUAGCUCUGCUGGUAGAGCAGGAGACUCAUAAUCUCAGGCGAGUGGGUUCAUGUCCCACAUUGGGAG